UGAUGGCCAUAAAACCCAUUGGAUCGCCAAGC
rnacentral:piRNA from 1 species